rnacentral:misc_RNA from 1 species
AAACUAUAGAUUAUUCUGUGAUAAAUUUCUAAAUGUGCUAAAACCAUGUAAAGAGUUGUAUUCAUACAAAGAGUUGUGUCUCUUGGCUAAAAGAUAUAACUAAAUAAAAAGAUGCAAUUCUUCUUAAUAGUUACAUGUAUGAAGAGAUGAAUUUAUUGGCCAAAAGGUUAAUACAUUUUGAGUAGUAAAUAAAAGAGUCUUACAAGUCAUUUGUAAGAAGUG